rnacentral:rRNA from 1 species
AGAGUUUGAUCAUGGCUCAGGACGAACGCUGGCGGCGUGCCUAAUACAUGCAAGUCGAGCGGGGCUUGAGGAGGGCUUGCCCUUCGAGAGCCCAGCGGCGGACGGGUGAGUAACACGUGGGUAACCUGCCCGUAAGACCGGGAUAACUCCGGGAAACCGGGGCUAAUACCGGAUAACACCGGGGGCCGCAUGGCUUCCGGUUGAAAGGCGGCCUUUGGCUGCCACUUACGGAUGGGCCCGCGGCGCAUUAGCUAGUUGGCGGGGUAACGGCCCACCAAGGCGACGAUGCGUAGCCGGCCUGAGAGGGUGGACGGCCACACUGGGACUGAGACACGGCCCAGACUCCUACGGGAGGCAGCAGUAGGGAAUCUUCCGCAAUGGGCGAAAGCCUGACGGAGCGACGCCGCGUGAGCGAGGAAGGCCUUCGGGUCGUAAAGCUCUGUUGUCAGGGAAGAAGGCGCGCCGUUCGAACAGGGCGGCGCGGUGACGGUACCUGACGAGGAAGCCCCGGCUAACUACGUGCCAGCAGCCGCGGUAAAACGUAGGGGGC